rnacentral:rRNA from 1 species
UACAGAGGUCCCCAGCGUUGUUCGGAUUCACUGGGCGUAAAGGGUGCGUAGGCGGUGAGGUAAGUCUGACGUGAAAUCUCCGGGCCUAACCCGGAAACUGCGUUGGAUACUAUCUUGCUAGAGGAAUGGAGGGGAGACUGGAAUACUUGGUGUAGCAGUGAAAUGCGUAGAUAUCAAGUGGAACACCAGUGGCGAAGGCGAGUCUCUGGACAUUUCCUGACGCUGAGGCACGAAAGCCAGGGGAGCAAACGGG